AAAUAUAAUUUAAUUUUGUAGGGAGGACAGCCCUACUACUCUGACUGGAAAAGUAAACCAGCUUGAAGUGAUUCUUCGACAAUUGCAAACUGAUCUUCGUAAGGAAAAACAAGACAAAGCUGUUCUCCAGGCUGAAGUCCAGCAUCUGAGGCAGGAUAACAUGAGACUUCAGGAAGAAUCCCAAACAGCAGCUGCUCAACUAAGAAAAUUUACUGAAUGGUUUUUUAAUACGAUAGAUAAGAAGUCCUAAUAUUUGAAAAAGCAUCACUGAAACCACAUAAACACCAGUAAUUUUGAAGUAGCCUAAUAUAAUUUCACUAUAUUCACAGCCCAUUUUAUAUAUACUGCUGUAAUUUCUGUGUAGCCCUGCUCAUUUGAACAAGGCUGUGGACUGUUAGGAAUUAGAUUCAUAUUCAUCUAAAUAAAACAGAAAGAAUGGCAGACAUUUGUUUUUGUGAAAAUGAAUGUACAAAUCCUGGUGUCAUUUUAGACAUUUUAGAGUAUACUUCUGGCUUGAGUUUUCCUGGAGAGGAAUAAGGUGAUUUUUAUUUUCUCUACUUCAGGUGCUCCAGUGCAGAUGGUAAAGCAAUUUAUGGUAGCUUUGAUUUCAAUACUGUAAGAUAAAAAUAAAUAACUAGACAUAUACUUUCAUGUUUAAAGGUGCUCUAUUUUUUGUAUGUACAGUAGAUAUUUCCACAGUCACAUUGUCAUAGCAAUAAUGGAGGUAGAAAUGAAUAGUCACCAAGCUGUCUUUAUAAAAAAUUAGUGCUGAUGAAUUUAACACUAGUUUGGAUGCAGAUAUAUUAGGAUUAUUUAUUUGCAGAAAAAAUGGUGCCUGAAUUUAAACAGUGUUCUGUUUUUUCUAAAGAGACACAUGCCUUGUACAUGGCUCACUUAUCAGUUCACUCCAAUGUCAGUGACUUUGUAUAGUUUGUCUUCAGCUAAGAUGGUUAUAGAGAAACUAACUAUUAAAACCAUAUGUGGUGCGAGCCAGCCAAUCAUUUGUAUAAUGCCAGAUUUGUUUAUCUUUGUACAGGAGCUUUGAGUGAGUGACAUGUAUUUAACACCUUUAUUUAAGCUAUUUAACCUGUUAAUUUUAUAAAGUUUUUGUUUUAUCUGCACUAUGAUGAGGUCAGUGGGUUGCAAGCUACUGUGUGUUUUAGCUUGCCAAAAUGACACUGCAGACUUCUAGAAAAAUCUAAUUAUUGGAUGCUGCUAGGACACAAUUUGUGUUUGUAUGCUUUAACAUUUUUAACAGAUUCAUUUGAAAUGAACAUACAUUUUGCUUUUUUAAAUAAAUGUUAAAAAUAUCAA